rnacentral:rRNA from 1 species
UACGUAGGCUGCAAGCGUUGUUCGGAUUUAUUGGGCGUAAAGAGCUCGUAGGUGGUUCGGUAAGUCGGAUGUGAAAUCUCCAGGCUCAACCUGGAGGGGUCAUUCGAUACUGCCGUGACUAGAGGUCGGUAGGGGAGUGUGGAAUUCCUGGUGGAGCGGUGAAAUGCGCAGAUAUCAGGAGGAACACCCGUAGCGAAGGCGGCACUCUGGGCCGAUACUGACACUGAGGAGCGAAAGCGUGGGGAGCGAACAGG